rnacentral:pre_miRNA from 1 species
UGGGGUGAUCAACUGUCCUGGUUUGUUCAGGACUGAGGAGUUUCCAGGAUGCAGAAUUUAGGGUGUUAAAACUGAGACAGUCCUGGGCAAACCAGGACAGUUGGUCACCCUGCCUGUGC